GAAAAAAGGCAUGCCACCUUGAAUGCACCUGAUCUCAUCUGAUCUCAGAAGUUAAGCAGGGUUGGGCCUGGUUAGUACUUGGAUGGAAAGAGGCAUUGUAGUAAAAUGGAAGCAGGAGUUGAUGUUCU
rnacentral:rRNA from 1 species